GACUUCUGACUGCUUAGCAGUGGGUACCAGGCUACUUAUACAGCAUAGAUCACGCAUACAUGAGUGAGAUGAGUGUUCGCUUAUGAUGUGAAUGGCACCACUUAGAAUGGUGCAGUGCACAACUUGUACAACUGUAUGUGGAAGCCUUGGCAUCUACCUGUCCAUCCACAGACAUCUAGAUUUUUUUCCCUUUAGAGUGGUAUUUAGGCCACAGUUCCAGCUUUGCCAGUAGGGUUUGUGCAAUGUUAGAGGCUAUGUUAGACAGUUUUUCUCAUCUGAGAUAUCAGGAGAUUCCAAACACAUGGCAGCAUGUAGAGAGAAGAACUGUGAAUAAGGCUGACAUCUAGGAGACUGGAAUCUAGAAGCAAGCAGGUAAAUCUAGGUGGUUGCCUAAAUGAAGGGGUAUGAUGCAGUUAGGGGGAGAAAUGAGCAACCCCAGAACAAGGGAAAAGAACAAUUGUAAGUAGACAGAAUGCACAGGGAGCAUUGAGUUAACUUUCUGGACAAGACAGUAUUUGUCUAAGAUUUACUUUAAUGUGCACAGGGAGCAGAUUCAUGUGGAAGCUCUAACCCUAAUGUGAUUGUAUUUGGAGAUAGGGCUUUUAGGAGAUAAUUAAGGUUAAAUGAGGUCAUAAGCGUGGGCUCUUAAUCUAUAAGUAUGGGGGCCCUUACAAGAAGAAGAAAAGAGGCCGGGCACAAGUGGCUCAAGCCUGUAAUCCUAGCACUUUGGGAGGCUGAGGUGGGCAGAUUACCUGAGCUCAGGAGUUUGAGACCAGCUUGGGCAACAUGGUGAAACCCUUUCUCUCCUAAAUUCCAAAAAAAAAAAAAAAAAAAAAAAAAAAAUUAGCCGGGCAUGGUGGCGUGUGCCUGUAGUCCCAGCUGCUCGGGAGGCUGAGGCAGGAGAAUUGCUUGAGCCCAGGAGGUUGAGGCUACAGUGAGCAGUGAUUGCACCACUAAAUUCCAGCCUGGAUGACAAAGUGAGACCUCAUCUCUGAUAAAGGCUGGGCGCGGUGGCUCACACCUGUAAUCCUAGCACCGUGGGAGGCUGAGGUGGGCAGAUUACCUGAGCUCAGGAGUUGGAGACCAGCCUGGGCAACAUGGCAAAACCCUGUCUCUACUAAAAAUACAAAAAACUAGCUGGCUGUGGUGGUGUGCACCCGUAAUCCCAACUACUGGGGAGGCUGGGGCACGAGAAUUGCUUGAACCCAGGAGGCAGAGGUUGCAGUGAGCCAAGAUUGCACCACUUCACUACAGCCUGGGAGACAGAGGGAGACUCUGUCUAAACAAUAAAUAAAUAAAUAAAAAUAAUUUUAAAAGUUAUUGUAUAUUAGCAGCUAUAUUCUCAUUUUGACAUUAAAUAUUAAAGAGACCCUGGUCUUUUUCCAUGAGUGUGUCUCAAACACUUGUUCCAAGCAUCCCUGCCGACCUUACCUUGUCACAGAAGACCUUGAUCUGGCAGUAGGCCCGGUGCACAGGCUUGUUGCUGCGGUUGUUGUAACUAUAGGUAUCAAUUUGAAUGUUAAGAGGCAACCCCUUCACUCCCUUCUGGGAAGAGAAAUCUGUGCUUAAGCAGUUCACAGAGAUGAAAACCUGCAAAGGGAAGAGAAGGUUCCAUAAGCAACAGGCACCAAGUCAAACCUAGCACAGCUCAUGAAAAUAUUAACAUCACCGAAAUUACUCAAGUCUAUUUUAAAUGAGAAGCUCAGCUUCUCAUUUUUUAAAAAAGGGUUUUUAAAAAGAGGUGAUCAGGGGUUUAUUUUAAAACUGCUUUUGGUCACAGAAAUAGCAGACCUUAUAGAGGAGGAAGAGUCGGCAGCUCUGAACCUCUGCUCAUGUUCCCUUCCAGAAUCCCUAUUUAAUAUCAGCUAGGACAGGGGAAGAGGCUGAUUAGCUUUCCUGAUGUCAUUUUCCAAAGUUACCAAUAGCAUAGCUCCCUCUGCAGCUGUUCUGUAACUUAGUAAAAACUUCCUAGCAAUCCACCUAUAUUUGCGCUGACACCACCUCUUAGGAUAACCUGUAGUACUCUGUGUCCUCAUAUUUUAGAACUUACGACAUCAAUGUUCCUCUAAUCCACAAUUUUUAUAAGAUUCCAAUAAAGUUCUCUCUCAAUCUUUGCCCAUGCAGACUAAACAGUCCUCAUUUCUUUCCAGUUUGUUCUUAUUAAUCUUUUGGUUAUCAAAUCACAUUGGGCCCAGUCUUCAAGGGAUGAUUUGUAAUUUACAAUUAUUUCCAUACUCCUUUCUAGGUAUAGAAAUAUCAGUGCAAGGGUCUUUUAUUUAAACAUAACUGGAUUCUUUACAUGCCCAGAUUAAACCUAAGACAAAAGUGGUAACGUUUGUUAAUAGGCUGAGAACUUAACGAUCACUAAACACUCAGGAAUGUGUUCCUCAUUCAAGAAGUUCCACACAGAU
rnacentral:lncRNA from 1 species